AAGAAAUUAACACUAAUUGUGUAAGGUAAAGCUAUUGAGAUGGGAUGAACUCUGUAGUUGAACUUUACAUCCACCCCCAUUUGAAAUCAUUAAUAUUGGCUAGGAAUGAUAAUGACUUUAGACAGUCCACGUGGUUAAUUUCUGUUAUGAGGUAAUUCGUUCCCGCAAAAGUUACAAACAAAAAAAAGAGUAAAAAGGACAAGCAUGAUUGAAAUCUUGAAGAAGUUGCGUCGUUUAGUACAACUUUUGAUUGGAAAAGAAAGUUAGAAUAUUACACCCACUAACUUGGAGUUUUUCCCAUAAAUGUAGCUGUAGGCACCAUCAGUUGUAACUAGUCUGCUUCUAAUUGGCAAUUCUUGAUCAUUAUGUCGCCCUUUUCUUUUUACCUAACUUUAAUCUCAAACUAAAGUAAUGAAUGGUUGUUAUGCUAGUUCAUGAGAGAUCUUGGUUUUUGUAGUAUUCUUUUUUUGCAAUAACUUCUAAAUUAUACUAUGGUUAGGCAGUUAGGCGAUUUGAAACUUAUGACUGAAAGGAAAAAAGGAAGAACAAGCAUGCAUCAAGAAGAUCAUACGUGAUAUAGAUGCUUGAUCGUUCUACCUAAUAAUAUGGAAG
rnacentral:lncRNA from 1 species